UCGUUAACCUUAUGGCGCCGCUCGGGCCCGGUCAGCUUUCCAAGGUCGCUUUCCUGUGGCCUUAGCCUUGGGAAUGAGGCUGUUGAGUUAACUUUAGCUCCUUGUGGCCGUCCAGGCGGCACUGUCUGCCACAGGGGUUACGGGACCGCGCUUUCGUAAUUUCCUAGGUUUCUGAGGAGAUGAGAGGGUCGAGACUGUCCCUGUAAGCAGAAUGAAGACCAAAAGACAUUCAGAAAGGAGAACAGACAAAAGAGAAGUGAUAGUGAGCAAGUGCUAGAAAUACAAGACAGAAACAAGAUUUGGGAAAAGUUUGGGACAGAUGGAAUCUAUCAUUCGAUAAAUACAUUUAGAGGAAGCCUGAGAAAUGACGGUACAAUUUGAAAGUGGAAAGCAGGAAUCAAGGAAGAAAGAACAAUAGACUGGCAGGAUACCAGUUCUACUCCUGGUUCUAGCAACCCAGUGUGUGACUUUGGAUGUCAAAUGAUCCAAAAGUCUCUGGAGUCCUCUCUGUGACCUUCGAGGACCCAUCAACCUGAAAACAGAACAGGAUGCAGGUGUUUCAACUGUGGAUGCCAUAGUGAUGCUGUGCUCUUCCUCUCCCCUGCCCUGCCCCCAUGAGGAAGAGUCAAGGCUGGAUGGAGCCAGAGUGUAGGGAAGGAUUUUCUUAUAAUUUGAAAGCCCAUGAAGAUCUCUAGACUACCAGAGGCCUUGGAACUGACUGUCCUCACUCCUGUUCCCUGUAGAGAAUCCCAGGAUCUAACCAGCCC